UACGUAGGGGGCAAGCGUUGUCCGGAAUCAUUGGGCGUAAAGAGCGUGUAGGCGGCCCGAUAAGUCCGCUGUGAAAGUCCAGGGCUCAACCCUGGAAUGCCGGUGGAUACUGUCGGGCUCGAAUCCGGAAGAGGAGUGUGGAAUUCCUGGUGUAGCGGUGAAAUGCGCAGAUAUCAGGAGGAACACCAAUGGCGAAGGCAGCACUCUGGGACGUGACUGACGCUGAGACGCGAAAGCGUGGGGAGCAAACAGG
rnacentral:rRNA from 1 species